rnacentral:rRNA from 1 species
GACCUCAAAUCGGGUGGGACUACCCGCUGAACUUAAGCAUAUCAAUAAGCGGAGGAAAAGAAACUAACAAGGAUUCCCCUAGUAACGGCGAGUGAAGAGGGAAAAGCUCAAAUUUUGAAUCUGGUGUCUUUGACUCCCGAGUUGUAAUCUAGAGAAGUGUUUUCCGUGUCGGACCGUGCACAAGUUCCCUGGAACGGGGCGUCAUAGAGGGUGAGAAUCCCGUAUAUGGCACGGACUGCCGAUGCUUUGUGAUACACUCUCAACGAGUCGAGUUGUUUGGGAAUGCAGCUCAAAAUGGGUGGUAAAUUCCAUCUAAAGCUAAAUAUUGGCGAGAGACCGAUAGCGAACAAGUACCGUGAGGGAAAGAUGAAAAGCACUUUGGAAAGAGAGUGAAACAGUACGUGAAAUUGUUGAAAGGGAAGCGU